rnacentral:rRNA from 1 species
UACGGGGGGAGCAAGCGUUGUUCGGAUUUACUGGGCGUAAAGGGCGCGUAGGCGGCCUCUGCAAGUCGACUGUGAAAUCUCCGGGCUUAACCCGGAAAGGUCAGCCGAUACUGCAGGGCUAGAGUGCAGAAGGGGCAACUGGAAUUCUCGGUGUAGCGGUGAAAUGCGUAGAUAUCGAGAGGAACACCUGCGGCGAAGGCGGGUUGCUGGGCUGACACUGACACUGACAGCGCGAAAGCUAGGGGAGCGAACGGG